ncrna:Methylorubrum populi BJ001 chrB RNA
GGCUUCGGGGAGCGAUCCCCCGACGAGGCUCCGGCCGAAGAAUCGCGUCCCGCCUGCAAUUGCUGCAAGGACGCGUCAUG